GCCUCAGCUACACACUGAGUUUGAGGGCAACCUGGGCUACAUGAAACCUUCAAAAACCAAAGUGGCAAAAAAGGACUAGGGAUGAUAGUUGCCUAGCACGCACAAGACCUUUGGUUCUGUUGCAUAUUUCCUUCUGUGGCUGUGUUAAGGUACUGUGAACGAAAACAGCUCAGGGGAGGAUGGGGUUCCGGUCACCUCACACCUCACAGCCCAUCGUUGACAGAAGUUAGGGCAAGAACUCGGGCAGGAAGUUGAAGCAGAAACUGUGGAAGAACACUGCUUCCUGGCUUGAUUCUCUGCUCAUGCUUAGCUAGCUUUAUCAUAUUAUACCCUAGUACUGACUGCCAAGGGAAUGGUGCUGCCCACAGUGGGCUGGGCUCAGCUCCGCUACAUCAAUUAGCAAUCAAGAUGGUUUCCUGCAGAUGUGCCCACAGGCCAGUCUGAUCUAAUGAAGACUUUCCUCUCAGAUGAAUGUAGGCUAGAUCAGGGUGACAAAGCUAGCUAGGACUGGUUUUUGCCAUCCCGACACUGGGGCACAGAGAGACGGCUGAAUAUUACCAUCCAUGGGCUUGAAGAUAGACCUAUAUAGACGCUCCAGUCUGAACUAAAGGAAAACUGGGUUUAUGUUGACAGCGAGAACAUUGGAGGCUUGUGAGAGGAUAAGUCAUGAAGGGCACUGGAGAGAGGCCCCAUUGGUGAAGAGUGCUUGUACCCACAUCACCCUGUAACAUCAGCUCCAGGGGAAUCCUCCACUAGCUUCUUGCAGGUAUAUAUGCAUAUAGAUAAAAUUUAAAAAUAUAUAGAACUUAAUCCAGAAGCAGAAAGAGAGGUUAGGGCUGGGGAAAAGAGUCCAGUAAGUCAUGGCUAAAACGAUCCUCAAAGUGCAAAAGACGUAAAACUGGCAGAUUCAAAAAGCCCAUCCCCCCUCCUCAAGGAAAACCCAGAGAAAUCCAUACCAAUAGCACAUGGGUUCACAUGCCAGCCUUUCUGGAUAGCCUGCCCACGGCUGGCUCCCAGUCACCCUUGCGGGCAGGUUGCCUUAGGGAACAGUUUCCCUGAGCAUCUUUGGCAGGGGAGCUGUUUAUUAUGCAACAGUAGGAUUUGUUUCUUUGAAGCCUCCAGACCUAGGCAGAGUUCUGUGAGCCUGCACAGACCCUCUUUCCUCCCUGAAGGUUCAAGAUGGACACCAAUUCCCUUGGUCUAGGCAUCUGUGAGUUGAACUGCUACUAAGCUGUUUGAUAGUGACCGCUACUCGGCAGCACGUGGAGCCAGAGGAACUGCUAGCCUCUUCCCCACUUUGCUGUUUUUGCACAAGUGUCUGACUCAUCCUGCUUUGCAUGCUGGUCCCUCCUCAGUUCAGUGAAGUAACCAGAAGUUGCAAAAAUGCUCUCUGGAGGAUGGCCUUGCUUGCAACCUUACUCCAGUGUUGUAAACAGUCUCCUGGAGAAAGAGAGAGCCUUUCUGUUACUUAAAAGGUGAAUAAACAAAAAAACCCAUCUUUUAAUCCCAGCUCUUGAGAACCAAAGGCUGAUUGAUCUCUGUGAGUUUGAGCCAGCCUGGUCUACAGGGUGAGUCCAGAGUGACCAGAGUGGCCUAAAGGAAGACUCUGUCUCAAAACAACAACAACAACAACGAUUUUAAGUUCCUUUUGUGUAUACCAGUAUGUUUGUGUGAGGGUACAGAUCUGGAGAUCAAAGGGCAGCCUGCAGGAACCGAGUCUCUUCUAUCAUCUGGAUCUGGGAAUCAAACUCAGGUCCCUUAAGAUUGGCAGCGUUCGUCUUUACUUACUGAGUUGUAUCAAUAGCCUCAACCCUAGAACACCCAAUUAUCAGGCUGUCCACCUUGCACUCAGAGAUCUCUUGUCUCUUCCUUGCUAGAGUAAGAGGUGUGAAGCCAUCACACAUGGACCUCUAGAUAGAUAUUUUCUGAGGUUGGCUGACUCGCAAACAUGGGACCUGCUUCAGGGCUAACCACACACUAUGGCUUGAACAUUAAUCUUCCUACGUCCACCAGCUGGCCAGGUUCCGCCAACCUAGUAAGGCAAAGGGGCAGCAGCUCAGCUCCAGGACACGGUCGAGCAAGGUGGACAGCUUAAUUAUUGGCUAUUUCUGCUAGUGGAUGCUGUUUGAAACUGCUCAGUGGAUCUACAGGCCUACCGAGCCUGGCUACUUCUCUUGAGGUCAGAGUCGAGCCAGCUGAGGAAAUGGAGGGACCAAGAUAAAUGGUUAAACAAGAAGAGGAGCUUUUUGAGUUAGGGUCCCAAGUAGCCCAGGCUGGCCUUGAACUCAUUAUGUAGCUGAGGAGGACUUUGAACUCCAGGUCCUUCAGCAGUGACCUGCUGGGAUAACGGAUGUGCCUCCAUGCAUGGCUACUAGUUAUUGCUUCUCCUCUCUAGGACGGGGUCUUACUGUGUAGCCUGGUUGGCCAGGCGUGUUAAGUAUGUUAUGCACUGCUGUGAAGGAUACCUGACAAGAGCAAUGGAAUGGAACUGUUUAUUUUGGUUCAUGGUCAAGGGGACAGCGUGACAGGAGGGCAUGACGGGAGCUUGGGGCAGAUGGUCAUACUUUAUCCACUGUCAGGAAGGGAGCGAGGUGAAUGCUGGGGCUCAGCUUCUUUCUCCUGCUUCACUCAGCCCGGACCCCAGCCUGUGGAUAGUAGCGCCCGUCUUGGGGGAGUUUCCCCACCUCAGCUAACCUCAUCUAGAAGCUUCCUCACAGCCCAGAGGCUUGUUUCUAUGGUGAUUCUGAAUACUCCCAAGUUGACACUUGGUAUUUGGAUGGGGUGGUACACAUCUGUAACCCCACCCUCAACCCCAGCACCCGGGAGACCUAGGUGGGAGGAUUGAACCUUUGGAGUUAGCCUGGGCUACACUGUUUCAAAGUACAAAUGAAAAAAGAAAAAAAAGGCAAAAGGACCCACAUACAGGGAGUGGUCUGACCAUCACAAGCCCCUUGCAGUGGCCUAAAUGUAAUUUGGGGGGUAACAGGUACAUCAGCGCCCCUGUGCCCCACACUCUGCUGCCUUAGGAACUGCACACAAGGAAGGGCAGUCAGCCCUGUGACUUGGCUUUGUGAGCAUCUGUCUGCUUUCCUUGAAAGCCAGGGGCCCAGGCUACCCUAGUAAGACAAAGAGUCCGUAUCUGUUGCCUGCUGGCUCUGAGAGGAAUACAAGUACUUGCUUUUCCGUGUUAGCAUAUCAUUCCUGAGCAGACCCCAGCUGGCUGCAGUUGACUUGGAAUGUCUGUUUCAUCCCACUUCUGUGAGACAGACUCUUCUAGAAGCAGGUCCUACACACCUCCUGGUCUCAAUUUGUGAAUGUUUGACAGAAGGUGCGUGGGCUUAUCAAAGACGAAGAUAAGGUUGGACAGACACAGUCAGCACUGAAUACAUAGUGUGGUUGAAAUAUUUAAUACAGUAUUCUUGAGGACAUGAGAGUUAAAUUUGUCCUUUAGUGUCAGAUACC
rnacentral:lncRNA from 1 species